UACGGAGGGGACUAGCGUUGUUCGGAAUUACUGGGCGUAAAGCGCACGUAGGCGGAUUUGUAAGUCAGGGGUGAAAUCCCGGGGCUCAACCUCGAAACUGCCUUUGAUACUGCAAAUCUCGAGUCCGGAAGAGGUGAGUGGAAUUCCUAGUGUAGAGGUGAAAUUCGUAGAUAUUAGGAAGAACACCAGUGGCGAAGGCGGCUCACUGGUCCGGUACUGACGCUGAGGUGCGAAAGCGUGGGGAGCAAACAGG
rnacentral:rRNA from 1 species